rnacentral:rRNA from 1 species
GACGGGGGAUGCAAGUGUUAUCCGGAAUCACUGGGCGUAAAGCGUCUGUAGGUGGUCAAAUAAGUCAACUGUUAAAUCUUGAGGCUCAACCUCAAAAUCGCAGUCGAAACUAUUAGACUAGAGUAUAGUAGGGGUAAAGGGAAUUUCCAGUGGAGCGGUGAAAUGCGUAGAUAUUGGAAAGAACACCGAUGGCGAAGGCACUUUACUGGGCUAUUACUAACACUCAGAGACGAAAGCUAGGGUAGCAAACAGG